rnacentral:rRNA from 1 species
GACGAACGCUGGCGGCGUGCCUAAUACAUGCCAGUCGAGCGGACGAUUCGAAAGCUUGCUUUUGAAUCGUUAGCGGCGGACGGGUGAGUAACACGUGGGCAACCUGCCCUGUAGACGGGGAUAACACCGAGAAAUCGGUGCUAAUACCGGAUAACACGAAAUGUCGCCUGACGUUUCGUUGAAAUGCGGCACACGCUGCCGCCACAGGAUGGGCCCGCGGCGCAUUAGCUAGUUGGUGAGGUAACGGCUCACCAAGGCGACGAUGCGUAGCCGACCUGAGAGGGUGAUCGGCCACACUGGGACUGAGACACGGCCCAGACUCCUACGGGAGGCAGCAGUAGGGAAUCUUCCGCAAUGGACGAAAGUCUGACGGAGCAACGCCGCGUGAGCGAAGAAGGCCUUCGGGUCGUAAAGCUCUGUUGUUAGGGAAGAACAAGUAACGUAGUAACUGACGUUACUAUGACGGUACCUAACGAGAAAGCCACGGCUAACUACGUG